UUUUUUAGUUACACAAUAUAAGGUACAAAAUUACAUCAAGCUAAUGUCACCCACAAUAUGUAAAACGAGCAACACAUAAACAACAGAUCAUAGAGGCAUGAAGAAUUUCAUGUCAUUUUCCGUCCUUUCCAGCUAUAGAAGAGAUGCUCUUCACUUCAGAACUCGUCGAGUCCUUUACAAUCACCUCAGAACUCUUUAUAUCCUUUCCUGAUAUGGGAGAUGAAAUGCCUCUUGUUAAUUCUGAUCCCAUGCCAAGGUUGGCAUCUGAAGAAAAUGAUAGGGAUGUGGCAGAUGGAGUAUUAGAAUCUAGGGGCACUGGGGGUAAGUUCAGAGGAUUAACUUCAGAGACUUCCUCAUUGCUCUCGUCUAAGUACACAACAUCCUGCAUCGUAAGUUGAUGAUAUUCAACGACCUCCCUCAGAAAGCGAUUCUCACGAGCAUAAACUGAGUUCUCGUGAGCCAAGCGAGCUUUCUCAGCUAGAAGAGUUUCAAGUUGCAGUCGUAUCUGUAAGGGAAAUGUUAUCAUUAAAAUACAGGAAAUUUUGGUGAAAUGAGUAGUGUCGGAGAACAUUUUCAAAACUGACACAAUGUGGUUAAAACCUGAAUAACCAAAUCAAUUGACUUAUAACUGAAUUAUAAACCAGAGGUGGGAUAAACUCAAACUUUAUAGUUGGCUUUUUGGUUCUUUACAAGUGUCUUCAAAGGGGAAGCAGGGAGAGUGGUAAAAGUAUUUUCUUUUAAUAGAAGAAAUUAGAGUUGAGAUAAAAGGGAGUAAGUACAAACAAUGGAGGUUAGCAUAGGAAGGGAAUCCAAAUACACAUCUAGUCUUUUGGAAACUUGCACAAUAUAAUAUGUGUUUAACUAAUUCUAUAGUGGAACCAUAUUAUAUUAUCUAGAAAACAUGCAAAUGAAACUUUAGAUUAAGGGGUCAUUUGAAAGAGCUUAUUGUAUCACAAACACUUGUGUAAAAUGUUUAAAAGAACAAAAGAAUAGCUCAUGAUAUAUUCAUAAGAUGUUUUCAUCUAUUUUCUUAAGCUCAAAAGAACAGCUUAUAUGUUAUCUUAUACAUAGUUAAUG
rnacentral:lncRNA from 1 species